rnacentral:rRNA from 1 species
AGGACGAACGCUGGCGGCGUGCUUAACACAUGCAAGUGGAGCGACGAACCAGGGCUUGCCCUGGGGCAGAGCCGCGAACGGGUGAGUAACACGUGGGUUACCUGCCUCGAUGACCGGGACAACCCGAGGAAACUCGGGCUAAUACCGGAUGUGCCCGCAAGGGGAAAGGAAGCUUCGGCCUCCGCAUCGAGAUGGGCCCGCGGCCCAUUAGCUUGUUGGUGAGGUAACGGCUCACCAAGGCUUCGAUGGGUAGCUGGUCUGAGAGGACGAUCAGCCACACUGGGACUGAGACACGGCCCAGACUCCUACGGGAGGCAGCAGUGGGGAAUCUUGCGCAAUGCGCGAAAGCGUGACGCAGCAACGCCGCGGUGGGGGAAGAAGGCUUUCGGGUUGUAAACCCCUUUCAGUUGGGACGAAGCUUCGUCGGUGAAUAGCCGGCCGGAGUGACGGUACCUUCACAAGAAGCACCGGCUAACUACGCGCCAGCAGCCGCGGU